GCUUCAAAAACUGUUAUCUGGUGAGGGCAACAGGACACCAAACACAUCUUGAGAAGAAUGUCUGUGUGACUAUCCUUCUGACUCUGAAAGCAUCUCACAUCGUUAACUGCAUGAUACCAUUUCAAGACUGGUACUUUACAGCUCCGGGUGUGUUGUGGUCUUGCCUGGUUUCCAUCUAGAAACAGUUAUUCAAGAAAUAUUUAUGAAAAUGAGAUGUCUGGAGAAGACCGUUAUUAUACAACUUGUUAUUCCAAGAGCCUACUUCUAUGUUGCCUAGCAACCUCUGACAUCAUCACCUGCCACUGCCAGUGUGCAAUGUGAUAUGUUGAACAUUUAAAGAGUUCCAGAAAAGGGCAAAAUAUUAAAAAACAUAAAAUGCUUAAAGACUAAGGACUCCAGAGGGCUCCAAGGAGAAUUAUUAAAAUGAGCGCGGUGAGGAGACUGGGUCUUUGUGGGGCCUGAACCUUUUCAAGGAGCAACAGCUUUUGUUUCUGUACCCCACCAACACUGAUCACCUAAUUAAACCUGGAUCUCCGGCUGAAGCAGACGACUUGUAAUCGUUCUGAUGCCUUU